GGGGGUGUAGCUCAGUUGGUUAGAGCAUCGGCUUGUCACGCCGAAGGUCGCGGGUUCGAGUCCCGUCACUCCCGCCA
rnacentral:tRNA from 1 species